UUGUUCAAUAGAAAACUAUACUAAUUGGUUUGAAGAAAAUAUAAGUGUAAGGAAGAUAAAACCUUCUUUGGACCAAAUUGAAGUGUUUGAAAAUUAAUAAGAGAUAUUUUAAGUUAAUACAAACGUGAAAUGGACAAAAUUGUUGGUACGAAGCUAAAGAGGUUAAGUGAACGCGUGGAAGAGAUAAAGGGAAGUUACCCAAGGAAAGAAUUGUGCAGUUAAUUACAAGAGUGUGUUACAGAUUUUACAAAUUAGGACUUCAAGUUAGCAUCAUUAAUUAUGGCUUCCAUUAUGGCAUAGAUAUGACUGAAUGCGGUCAUUGCUUCUUCUGUAGGAACAGAAAGUCCUCCUCUUUAUAAGCUAUCAAAAUAUUUGUCGCUAAUAGUUUUACCUUUAUCCUCCACAAUUAAUAAUUUACAUAUAUUACAAUUUAAUUUUUGCUAAUAGAAUGGGAGCCAUAACCAGAUAUGUAAAUUUUAAUGGAAUCAUCAACAACACAAGUGGAUAAAUAUUCAGUUUCGAAGAUUCCCAGAAAAACAAGUUACAUCAAUGGAAAGUUUUAGUCUAAUAUUUUUCUCUGCAUGAACUACUUCAUUGUAUGAAACGUGA